GACAGAGGCCCCGAGCGUUAGGCGGAAUCACUGGGCUUAAAGCGUGUGUAGGCGGGCCCGUAAGUGUCUUGUGAAAUCCCACGGCUCAACCGUGGAACUGCUGGGCAUACUGCGGGUCUUGGGCCAACUAGGGGCAGCCGGAACAAGCGGUGGAGCGGUGAAAUGCGUAGAUAUCAUUUGGAACGCCAAUGGUGAAAACAGCUCGCUGGGGGUGCACUGACACUGAGACACGAAAGCCAGGGGAGCGAACGGG
rnacentral:rRNA from 1 species